UGACCCGUGGUGUAAUGGUAACACUACAGAUUCUGGUUCUGUCUUUCUGGGUUCGAGUCCUAGCGGGUCAAC
rnacentral:tRNA from 1 species